GACGAACGCUGGCGGCGUGCUUAACACAUGCAAGUCGAACAGUGGCGGACGGGUGAGUAAUGCUUGGGAAUCUAGCUUAUGGAGGGGGAUAAAGACGGGAAACUGUAGCUAAUAACGCGUACCCUAGGAUGAGCCUAAGUGGGAUUAGGGAGUUGGUGAGGUAAAGGCUCACCAAGCCGACGAUCUCUAGCUGGUCUGAGAGGAUGACCAGCCACACGGGGACGGAGACACGGCCCAGACUCCUACGGGAGGCAGCAGGGGGGAAUAUUGCGCACUGGGGGCAACCUGACGCAGCCAGGCCGCGUGAAUGAAGAAGGCCUUCGGGUUGUAAAGUUCUUUCGGUAGCGAGGCGUUAACUACCCAAGAAGCACCGGCUAACUCCGUGCCAGCCGCCGCGGUAAUAC
rnacentral:rRNA from 1 species